GAGGGAUUAGUUAAAUGAUAACACCGCCUUGUCAAGGCCGAAUUGCUAGUUGAACUCUUGCACCCCUCC
rnacentral:tRNA from 1 species